rnacentral:rRNA from 1 species
AGUGAACGCUGGCGGUAGGCCUAACACAUGCAAGUCGAACGGCAGCACAGUAAGAGCUUGCUCUUACGGGUGGCGAGUGGCGGACGGGUGAGGAAUACAUCGGAAUCUACUUUUUCGUGGGGGAGAACGUAGGGAAACUUACGCUAAUACCGCAUACGACCUACGGGUGAAAGCAGGGGAUCUUCGGACCUUGCGCGAUUGAAUGAGCCGAUGUCGGAUUAGCUAGUUGGCGGGGUAAAGGCCCACCAAGGCGACGAUCCGUAGCUGGUCUGAGAGGAUGAUCAGCCACACUGGAACUGAGACACGGUCCAGGCUCCUACGGGAGGCAGCAGUGGGGAAUAUUGGACAAUGGGCGCAAGCCUGAUCCAGCCAUACCGCGUGGGUGAAGAAGGCCUUCGGGUUGUAAAGCCCUUUUGUUGGGAAAGAAAAGCAGCAGGUUAAUACCCCGCUGUUCUGACGGUACCCAAAGAAUAAGCACCGGCUAACUUCGUG